CGCUAGUAGAUCGCCAGGUAGGCUUUUGUUCUAGUGAAGAUGAGUCACUAGUAGAUCGCCAGGUAGCCUUUUGUUCUAGUGAAGAUGAGUCACUAGUAGAUCGCCAGAUAGCCUUUUGUUCUAGAUGAGUCGCUAGUAGAUCGCCAGGUAGCCUUUUGUUCUAGAUGAGUCGCUAGUAGAUCGCCAGGUAGCCUUUUAUUCUAGAUGAGUCGCUAGUAGAUCGUCAGGUAGCCUUUUGUUCUAGAUGAGUCACUAGUAGACCGCCAGGUAGCCUUUUGUUCUAGAUGAGUCGCUAGUAGAUCGCCAGGUAGCCUUUUGUUCUAGUGAAGAUGAGUCACUAGUAGAUCGCCAGGUAGCCUUUUGUUCUAGAUGAGUCACUAGUAGAUCGCCCGGUAGCCUUUUGUUCUAGAUGAGUUGCUAGUAGAUCACCAGGUAGCCUUUUGUUCUAGUGAAGGUGAGUCACUAGUAGAUUUUGCUAAACUGAAUUUUCU
rnacentral:lncRNA from 1 species